rnacentral:rRNA from 1 species
UACGUAGGGUGCAAGCGUUAAUCGGAAUUACUGGGCGUAAAGCGUGCGCAGGCGGUUUCGUAAGUCUGUCGUGAAAUCCCCGGGCUUAACCUGGGAAUGGCAUUGGUGACUGCACGGCUAGAGUGUGUCAGAGGGGGGUAGAAUUCCACGUGUAGCAGUGAAAUGCGUAGAGAUGUGGAGGAAUACCGAUGGCGAAGGCAGCCCCCUGGGAUAACACUGACGCUCAUGCACGAAAGCGUGGGGAGCAAACAGG